rnacentral:rRNA from 1 species
UACGGAGGAUGCGAGCGUUAUCCGGAUUUAUUGGGUUUAAAGGGUGCGCAGGCGGAGGUGCAAGUCAGUGGUCAAAUUGCGGGGCUCAACCCCGUACUGCCGUUGAAACUGCAUCCCUUGAGUGCGCGAGAAGUAUGCGGAAUGCGUGGUGUAGCGGUGAAAUGCUUAGAUAUUGCGCAGAACUCCGAUUGCGAAGGCAGCAUACCGGCGGCGAUCUGACGCUGAGGCACGAAAGCGUGGGUAUCGAACAGG